UACGAAGGGGGCUAGCGUUGCUCGGAAUGACUGGGCGUAAAGGGCGCGUAGGCGGUUUGUACAGUCAGAUGUGAAAUUCCUGGGCUCAACCUGGGGGGCUGCAUUUGAUACGUAUGGACUGGAGUGAGGAAGAGGGUCGUGGAAUUCCCAGUGUAGAGGUGAAAAUUCGUAGAUAUUGGGAAGAACACCGGUGGCGAAGGCGGCGACCUGGUCCUUUACUGACGCUGAGGCGCGAAAGCGUGGGGAGCAAACAGG
rnacentral:rRNA from 1 species